UACGAGGGGGGCAAGCGUUAUUCGGAUUUACUGGGCUUAAAGAGUUCGUAGGCGGCGCAGACAGUAGGGUGUGAAAGCCCUCGGCUCAACCGAGGAAUUGCGCCCUAAACUACUGUGCUUGAGGAAGCUAGAGGUGAGCAGAACAGAUGGUGGAGCGGUGAAAUGCGUUGAUAUCAUCUGGAAUACCGGAGGCGAAGGCGGCUCACUGGGGCUUUUCUGACGCUGAGGAACGAAAGCCAGGGUAGCGAACGGG
rnacentral:rRNA from 1 species